CCUAUGACAGACAAGGCAAGCUCUACUCUCAGAAGCAAAAAUUAUAUAUCUAGGAGUCAGAGUAUGAAUCAAGAAGAAUGGACUUCUGCUUCUUAUCUACCUAAUGCCAGAUAAUGAUGACAGCAAUGCAUUUUCUACAUUCAUAUCCUCAAUCAUAUGUUUUUGAAUGCUUACUGGAAAACCGGUUUAAAAGAAAGGUGACUAGUUAUUGGUCUUGCUCUGACAGCCGUGGAAACCAUUUGCUGAUGAAAGCACAAGCAACAACAACAAAAAAGAUGAAUAAACUGGAUUUCAACAAAAACACAUUUGUGCUUCAGAGAACAUAAUCAAGAAAGUGAAAAGGCAACCCACCAAUGGGAGAACACAGUUUCAAAACAUAUAUCUAAUAAAAUAUUUGAGUCCAGAUUAUCUAA
ensembl:lncRNA NAALADL2-AS3 NAALADL2 antisense RNA 3